UACGUAGGGUGCGAGCGUUAAUCGGAAUUACUGGGCGUAAAGCGUGCGUAGGCGGUUCGUUAAGUUCGUCGUGAAAGCCCCGGGCUCAACCUGGGAACUGCGAUGGAAACUGGCGGGCUUGAGUGUGGCAGGGGGGGGUGGAAUUUCGCGUGUAGCAGUGAAAUGCGUAGAGAUGUGGAGGAACACCGAUGGCGAAGGCAGACCCCUGGGUCAAGAUUGACGCUCAUGCACGAAAGCGUGGGGAGCAAACAGG
rnacentral:rRNA from 1 species